rnacentral:rRNA from 1 species
GUUAGGAAUAUUGGACAAUGGGCGCAAGCCUGAUCCAGCCAUGCCGCGUGAGUGAUGAAGGCCUUCGGGUUGUAAAGCUCUUUAGUCCACGAAUAUAAUGACUGUAGUGGAAGAAUAAGCCCCGGCUAACUUCGUGCCAGCAGCCGCGGUAAUACGAAGGGGGCGAGCGUUAUUCGGAAUCACUGGGCGUAAAGCGUGCGUAGGCUGUUUUGUAAGUCAGAAGUGAAAGCCCAGGGCUUAACCCUGGAAUUGCUUUUGAAACUACAAGACUCGAAUUCGGGAGAGGAUAGCGGAAUUGUCAGUGUAGCAGUGAAAUGCGUAGAUAUUGGAAGGAACACCAGUGGCGUAAGCGGCUAUCUGGACGAGUAUUGACGCUGAGGCACGAAAGCGUGGGGAUCAAACAGGAUUAGAUACCCCUGUAGUCC